rnacentral:lncRNA from 1 species
UUUUUUUUUUUUUUUUUAAUUAUCAUUAUCCUGAUGGGUAUAAGGUAGUAUCUCACCAUAGUUUUGAUUCCCUGAUAAUCAGUGAUGUUGUGCAUGUUUUCAUGUGCUUUUGAUCAUAUGUAUAUCAUUUUGGAUAUCUGUUCAAGUUCUUUUUUUUUUCAUUUUUUAGUAAUUUAUUUUUUAUUGGUGUUCAAUUUGCCAACAUACAGAAUAACACCCAGUGCUCAUCCUGUCAAGUGCCCCCCUCAGUGCCCGUCACUCAUUCAUCCCCACCACUCUGUUCAAGUUCUUUGCCUAUUUUUUAGUUGUGCUGUUUGUUUUUUUAGUUGUUGAUUUUUGUAGAGAAGUUCUUUAUAUAUUCUGGAUAUCAAUCCCUUAUUAAAUAUGUGACUUACAGAUAUUUUCUCCCAUUCUGUGGGUUACCUUUUUACUCUGUUGAUACUACCCCUUGAUGAACAGAAGUCCAAUUUUUCUACUGUGUUUCUUCUUUUUCUUUUUUUUUUUUGCCUGUCUUUGGUGUCAUAUGCAAGAAAUCAUUGCCAAAUCUAAUGUCAUGAAGCUUUUGCCAUAUGUUUUCUUCCAGGAGUUUUAGUUUUAGGCCUUAUGUUUAGGUAUUUGAUCCAUUUUAAGUUAAUGUUUAUAUACGAUGUAAGAUAAUGGUCCAAACUCCUUCUUUUGCAUGUGGAUAUCCAGUAUUCCUGGCAUCAUGUUGAAAAGGCUUUCCUUUCUCCAGUGAAUGGUGUUGGCAGCCUUGUUGUAAAUCAUUUGACCAUGUAUGCGAGGGUUUAUUUCUGUGCUCUUUAUUUAGUUCCAUUGGUUUGUAUGUCUGUCUUUUUUUUAAGCACUUUAUUGAUGUGUGAUUGAUAUACAAAAAGUGUACAUAUUUAUUGUAUACAACUUGAUGAAUUUGGUGAUGUGUACAUCUGUCUUUAUGCCAGUUACCACACUGCUUUUAUUACUAUAACUUUGUAGUAAGUUCAAAUCAGGAAGUGUAAGACUCUCAACUUUGUUCUUUUUCAAGGCUGUAAAAGAUUGUUUGGGCUAUUUGAGUGUGCUGGUUUUAAUGUGCUUAUAGGAAUCGAAGUUAUUUACUGACUUUUUAAAAACUAAUGAUCAAAAGCUGGUUUGUUUGCACAGAUUGGUGUUAAAAUAAGCCUUCCCUUCCUACCAUAGUAGUAUAUUUGAAUAUUUAUUUGUUUUUAUUUUAUUGACUUUUUUCCUGAUGAGAGGACCCCACUUUUGUUUUCUAAAUUGAAAAUUUUGUGUGUUAGAACAAAAUCUAGCUCAGGGGAAGUGUUGGAAGUAACCAAAAAAUUAGUAAGUUAGCUAGUUUUAUUCUAGUGUUGCUAAGACCUGAGCUGAAUGCCAUCUGGUCUUGUAAUGAAUCCAAAAAAUAGUUUAAUAUAAAUUAGAAAGUAUAUUUUUUUGGUUUAUUACCAUGCAAGUUUAUAAAAUCAUACUGAAAUUCUAAUUCAGAAUGUUACAGAAAGUUCAUUAAAACCAUCCAUGAGUUUAACAAGUUUCUAAUUAUAAGAUUUUUACUUUUGAUCUGUAGAGAAGGAAGUAAAAUCUACUUCACAUAACGAAGUAAAAUCUUAACAUUAUAUUUAAUUUUGUUUUUUUUUUCCCAAAAUCAAGAUAGGUAUUAGUAUUAAUUAUUGAGUUUUAAAAGAUGUUUUGCCUGUAGGACAUUAAAUUAACAGCAUGCUGGGUACUUAACAUAUAUUCAUUCUUGGCCCCUAAAAGAGUAGAAAAUUUCACUAAUUCAAAACCUAAGAAAAUAAGCCAUAAAUAUGUAUAAAGUAAAUUCUUGUGUAGAAUUUUUGACAUCUUGAUGGAAACAGCAAUUUAAGAUAUUUUAGUUAUUUUAUAUAAAUUAAGUAACAUCUAAAAUAUAUUUAUAUGAUUAAAAUUUGUUGACAAAAUAAAAGAAACUUAGAAAGUGUAACAAAUUUACAAAAUUGGUGUUGAGAGUAUUCUCAUAAUUUAAAUUGUGGAUAAAGUUUUUCUGGUUCACACUUUUAAAGCCAGGAAACUUUAAUUUGUAUUUAAUUUUUGAUUUUUUUUUAAGCUUGACACAGUGCAGCAUAAAAUCCUUCAAAAGGCAAAAAUGAUAGGUAUUGUAUGCUGUUAAGUGUCACAACUCUUGUGUAUUUACUGCCAUCUAGUGUUUUCUUUAAAAACUAAGGACACUUGAACACUACUUGUUCAAUGUUACACUUGUUCAAUGUUACUUGGUAAAAUGUUACAAAAAUUUGUUAUGGGCUAAUCGAAAAGAAUAGCCUAUCAAUAUAUGAAACUAUGUGAAAAUUCUAUUUUCUAGGUUAAAAAUAGCCAAAUAAUGGUGGUGUUACAGUUCACCAGAGGAUUAAAUCAAUAUCCAAUUAUUUUCUUUUAAAUAAUAAUGAUUAUUCUCACUUUUCAGGCAAAUUUAAUUUCCUUCUUGGGUGUAAUUUCAAAGAAAAGUGACUACUGUUUUUUGUUUUGUUUGUACUUUAAAUGAGGAAUUACACAAAGAACUCCAAUUCCUAAAAAAUAGAAAUGACCUAAAUUCUCCAAAUAUUAUAUGUUUGAUAAUCAUUUAUUUUAGUAUUAAAUGUAUUCACAGCUCUUUUAAUUCUCAAUGUGGCAAGAUGCACCCAUCAUACUUUCUGAAUAUGAACAAUUCAUCUACUAAAUGCUACUUUUUUCCUUAGGUGAAAGCAAAUUAACUAUUCACUCCAGAAGUUCUGCAUUUCUAAUGUUCAGAUCCUAUUGCCCAGCAAAUCAGUUUGUAGCAUGCAUGUUUAAUGGGUAGUUUUAGAAAUAACACUUCAUUGCAGUUUACUUAAAAAAAAAAAAAAAAAGGAAGUUACAUGAUUUUCUUUUUUUUUCUAGAGCUACUUAGAAUUGUUUCUCGUCUGCUUAUAAUGACUAGGAAGUCUUCUGAGAAUGGACAAAGCCCUUUGGGUUCUUUUAUGCCCUGGCUCACAGGGUUUCUCUAUUUUUAAAUUUAUUUAUUUUUUAGAGGGGUGGGGGGGAGAGAGAGAGAAUCUAAAGCAGGCUCCACCCUGAGUGAGGAGCCCAAUGCAGGGCUUGAUCCCAGGACUCUUAAUCAUGACCUGAGCCGAAAUAAAAAGUUGGAUACUUAAACCAACUAAGCCACCCAGGUGCCCCUAUUUUUCCAUUUUUAAAAAAUGGUUUUAGACUUGAAGAAAAAUUAUAAGCAUAACAUAGAUAAUUCCUAUAUUUAUUUUUUACUUAUUAGGAUUCACUCAUUUGAACAUUUUGCCACAUGAGUGUUCUCUCUCCUCUCAGUUGAUUUAUAUUUACAUCCAUGUGUAUGAAUACAUAUGGGUGCUUCAGAGUAUGGAGAUUAUGUACUUCUCCUGCCCCUUGGUGCACCGUGGCCCUGGGCCAGUCACCUCAUCUUGUAGGUCUGUUUCCUUGACUGCAGAUUGAGACCAGUGCAGCUUCUUUUGCAGGGAUGCUCUGAGGAGUAGAAAUGACACAUGUGUCCCUGAUCACAAGGGUCUGGCCUUGUGCAGACACUUAAUAAAUGCAGGUCUUGUCAUCACUCUUAGAAAAACAAGAUGUAGAAAAAGUCAUGCAUGUGAAAUUCCAGACAUAGAGCCGGGCAUUUGGCAGAGGCCCAGGGUGGAGAGCUGCAGUUCUAACUGGCUCAGCAGUGGCAGAGUGAAGUUACUCUUGUUUCUAUUGUCAUUGUCAUUAUUUAUUAAGUAGGCAGUGUUGCAGCAUGGAAGUAGCUUGGCGUAUCAGAGGUCAGAGGUAGCUAAAAUUAGUACCUCAGCUUUUCAUCUCUGUGUUCUUUGGUUUGCUUAGAUGUAAAACGAGGGCAUUGGUAAUGUACCCUGGAAGAGAUGGAUGCCAGGCCUGACACGGAGGAAGGGAAAAAGUAGUAACAGUGAACAGUGACACCAUUGUUGGUGGGUUAAUACUUUAGCAGCUAGCUCGUAUGUGUCCCUCAUCUCAUAGAUACCUCUUCUUCCACUUUGUGUGCCCCCCUCCUGCCCCCCCACUGUGUAACACUGAAUUGAUUUUGUUUGUGCUGCAGUUUCUCGAUUAUAUGUUAGUCUCCAUCUCAUGUUUCCAUCCUGUGACAACUCCACUGUUCUUCUCUUCCCAAUCUUCUUGCUCCCACACCUUAGUCCAGCCCUCCUUCCCUUCCAUCACCUCACCAAGUCUUCCUGAUUCUGAUUUUGUAUCUGUUGAGUCUCUUCCUUGUGACCAUUUCCCAACUAGACUUUUUAUUUAUUUUUAUUUGAUUUAUUUGACAGCACAGGCAAGGGGAGCAGUAGGCAGAGGGGGAAGCAAGCUCUCUGCUGAGCCAGGAGCCCAAUGCAGGGCUCAGUCUCAGGACCCUGUGAUCAUGACCUGAACCAAGGGCAGAUGUUUGACCAACUUGAGCCACCCAGGUACCCCCUCAUCGAUACUUAAAAAAAAAAACAACUUUAUAAACAUAAUUCAUGUAUUAUACACUCCCCUCUUUGAAAAUGUACAUUCCGCAGUUCUCACCUAGACUUUGACAGCCACCAGGUAAGUGGGUCCUUACCAGCCUUGUGGCUUUAUGCUUUCUCUCAUCUGCUCCAUGCUCUCUACUUCUGGAGUGGUUAUUCCAAAACAAAAUUCUGAUUCUGUUUCUCCUCUGCUGUGGUCCUUAACACGAAUCUCCAUGGCUUACA